GAGGAGAGGAGAGGAGCCUUCAGACGUGAGGAGCAGCAGCCCAGCAGGUCUAUCAGAAAGCCAUACCAUACGGGGGAGCACAGACUCAGGAACAGGAAGUCACGUGGUGCACAUGUGACUGUGAGAGAGGAGAGGAGCCUUCAGACGUGAGGAGCAGCAGCCCAGCAGGUCUAUCAGAAAGCCAUACCAUACGGGGGAGCACAGACUCAGGGCGAGCGCAACGGCAAGCUGCUGCUGGAAGCCCAGACCAAUCCCCUUCUCAGCCCCCCUCCCCUUCUGUCGCCCAAUCCCCCUCUCCUUCCCAUUCCCCUUCUCUGUCCCCCUCCCCUUCUGUUGCCCAAACCCCCUCUCCUUCCCAAUCCCCUUCUCAGCCCCCCUCCCCUUCUGUUGCCCAAUCCCCCUCUCCUUCCCAAUCCCCUACUUUCCCCCCUCCCCUUCUGUCGCCCAAACCCCCUCUCCUUCCCAAUCCCCUUCUCAGCCCCCCUCCCCUUCUGUCGCCCAAUCCCCCUCUCCUUCCCAAUCACCUUCUCUGCCCCCCUCCCCCUCUCUUCACCAAUACACCUUUCUGUCCCCCUCCCCCUCUGUAGGCCAAACCACCACUCCGCCCACCUCCCCCUCUCUUUCCCAUUCCCCCUCUCUGGCCCCCUCCCCCUCUGUGGCCCAAACACCCUCUCCGCCCCCCUCCCCCUCUCAAUCAGACCCACCCUCUGUAAACAGCUCCCCAUUCCAUCCUCCUUCCCCAAUCCAUCCUCCUUCCCCAAUCCCUCCUCCUUCCCCAAUCCAUCCUCCUUCCUCAAUCCAGCCUCCUUCCCCCAUCCAGCCUCCUUCCCCACCCAGUGAAUGGGCAGCAGAAGCCCCUGCGGAUCUUCAGGGUAGUGCGCAUGUGGCAAAUGAGAAUGGUGCAGUUGGAGAUCCCACAAGCCUGCCUGGCAUCCUUGCCAGCCUAAAGGCAAAUUUGCAGGCCAUGCUGGCCGAUGUUGACCGGCUGCAACAAUUUUUUUAAAAGAAAACUAUUUUUUAU